GACGAACGCUGGCGGCGUGCUUAACACAUGCAAGUCGAACGGUGAAGCGCCUUCCUUUUCGGCGGGUGUGGUCUUGUGGGGCACGGUGGAGUACCAGUUAAUUACCCUGCCCCCUCCUGCUGCAUAACGGGAUGAAAGUGUUGGUAAUACGGGAUAUUCCGGGUUUGCCGCAUGAGGGGUCUGGAACAGAUAUUGUUUGGGUUGGGAUUGGCUCGCGGCCUCUCAGCUUGUUGGUGGGGUGAUGGCCUACCGAGGCGGUGACGGGUAGCCGGCCUGAGAGGGUGGACGGGCACACUGGGACGGGGGCACGGCCAAGACUGGUACGGGAGGCAGCAGUGGCGAAUACGGCACACUGGGGGGGAGCAUGAUGCAGCGACGCCGCGUGAGGGAUGGAGGCCUUCGGGUUGUGAACCUCUUUCGCCAGUGAAGCAGGCCUGCCUCGUCUGUGGGUGGGUUGACGGUAGCUGGAGAAGAAGCGCCGGCUAACUACGUG
rnacentral:rRNA from 1 species